AUGUCAUGACUGUUAAAAUUUUAACACAGAUUGCCUAUGAAGAACAUCCGGCGGGGGAAGGGGGAGAGGCAGUAUAGCCACUUUGUUGUUUGCUCUCACUGCUAAAAUUUAUUCAGGAAGGUUUUUUUUUUAAAAAAAAGUCUAGAUUGAUUGUCCUUGAGUGAUAUUCCAUAUUUCCAUCAAUUCAUCCCAUUUUAUUUCUAUUCUGUCUUAUCAAUCUAUGGGUUUUACAUUACAAAAUCUGAGUUUUGUUGGCUUCUUUUGCUAUUCAUCCUCUCUUUAUGUUUUUCCUACUUCUCAACAAUUUUAGAAAUAAACCAUCCUGUUCUCAUUCUACUAUUUGUCUCUCUGUUUUGUUGUUAAGUUGAACUGGUUUGAGAUAAUACGCUUGUAUAUAAACACAGACUAUUUCUUUAGGUUAGUGUAUUAUAUUUGCCAUAGUAGUAAUAUACAUCUCAAAUGUUUUUUUUAAGUAAAACUUAUGCAACAAUAAUUAAAGAGGCUAACACUGUCAGUGAAUGGGCAGCCUAGAAAAGCAUUUAGUAAGAGAAUGGCACAUUCUCUGAAUUUUAGUAAGAGCUUAUAUUUUUAAAAAGUUGCUGUUGUUAUUUAGAAUCUGACCCAUUCUGUGCUGAUUUUGCACAAUGUGUCUCUAAGCUUUUUGAUGGACAUCCCAGAGGCUGCUCUGUUCUUUCCAUAUUUCUGCUAUACUUGCCAAAAAAAAAAAUCCAUUCCAUAAAAAAAUAUAAAGAACUACAGAGAACUUUCCCAUUAUAGCAUAUACUUGAAAUUUGGUUGAGUCAAAAUUUGUUUGAUUCGAAUCUUGCCGUUUUUGAAUCUUGAAUUCAAAUUGAACUGUGAUUGAUUUAUGUAUCUCUAGUUUACAAAGCACUGAUACGUAUGAGAUGUCUCUCUACAGUAGAUGGAAGCACCUACCCUGGCUCAAAGGUUAAAUAGGGCAAAGUUUGAUUACCACUUGAAUGAGAGACAAAGAAACUCAAGGCUAUAGUAAAGUAAAAAGAUACCCUAGAAGGUGGCAGUGUCAAAACAGUGACAAACUAGCGUCAAGAAAACUACCUGGACAAAGAGGAUAGGGAUGAUGCUGCGACAAUAUGACGCAUUCCACGGGGCUAUGUGGGAUCGCACCAAAAUUCAAACUGCAAGGAGGUUGUGAUGGACCUAAAUCACCUUGGAGGGGUGAUGAAGUAAGAGAGCACACUCCGCUCACAAACUUCCUGAUCGAUCCGGAGAAGACUUUCAAUCCAGCAGGAAGAAAAAGACAGCUAUUGUGUGCCUGAUCAAAGCUGGGACAGCUGACCGAUGAAGAAAGCACGAAAGAUUGAGGAACAGUGUGAAUGAUCUAGGUGAGAGAUUUCUAACUUCUAACUGCUAUUGAGCCCCCUGGAAACUAGCCUGGGAGAGAAUGGGACUCAAAAAGAAGUGGAUUUGUUCUUCUUCCACUUUCCAAGAAAAGCUGCAAGCAAGCCAGAGAGCCAUUUUUAAAACUGGAAAGAAGAAGAGAGAAUUUUUUAAGAGAGUGAAAAAGCCUUAAAAUUAGGAGGAUAUGAUCAAUUUGGAAAGCUUUUGGAGAUUAUAACAUUUGGACUUAAAGAAUUUUCUUUGUUUUGGAAAAUCUGGACUGGAUAACACAAUAUAAAA